GCGUGAGGACGACCUCCCCCAUAAAGGGUAUGUACUCCGGGACGACCCGG
rnacentral:ncRNA from 1 species